CUCGAAUCUUUUUAAUUGUAUCGUUGAUUUGUGCACAUUGUACGGUAAUUAAGAUACAGAAAGAAACAUAUUAAAAUGGAGAGUGCAACACUAGUCACUUUGAGCAACCUCAAUAGAUAUAGGCAGAUGUGGUGUGAGUGCCAAUGAGACAACUCUCCAUCCAAAUAACAAUUUAAAAAAGAGUAAACCAUUGUAGGUCAAUGUACGACCUUCAUCAAUGUUUGUAUUUGUGUGCAUGGAACGAAAUAUGAUAUAAAGCAACAAAAUUCAACCACUAAACUACAUGCUUCUGGAUUCGGGACUUGCAUAUUUAAAGAAUAGUGGGUUUAAACGCACAGUGGUGUAACAUCAUGUAACAUAAGAACAGUCAAACUACAAAAAUCAGUUGUAAAGGGCCUGACUUGUUUG
rnacentral:lncRNA from 1 species